AUUGAACGCUGGCGGCAGGCCUAACACAUGCAAGUCGAACGAGUGGCGGACGGGUGAGUAAUGUCUGGGAAACUGCCUGAUGGAGGGGGAUAACUACUGGAAACGGUAGCUAAUACCGCAUACCAUCAGAUGUGCCCAGAUGGGAUUAGCUAGUUGGUGGGGUAACGGCUCACCAAGGCGACGAUCCCUAGCUGGUAUGAGAGGAUGACCAGCAAAACUGGAACUGAGAAACGGUCAAGACUCCUACGGGAGGCAGCAGUGGGGAAUAUUGCACAAUGGGCGCAAGCCUGAUACAUACAUGCCGCGUGUAUAAAGAAGGCUUUCGGGUUGUAAGCUACUUUCAGCGGGGAGGCGUUACCCGCAGAAGAAGCACCGGCUAACUCCGUGCCAGCCGCCGCGGUAAUAC
rnacentral:rRNA from 1 species